AAAAAAAAUAAAUAAAUUAAAAAAUAAAUAAAUAACUAGCCGGGCUUGGUGUCUCACAGCUGUGGUCUCAGCUACUCUGGAGACUGAGGGAGGAGGAUCACUUGAGCCUAAGAGGUCAAGGCUGCAGUUAGAGUAGAUAACGCCAUUGUACUCCAGCCUGGGCGAUAGGGCCAGACCCUGUCUCAAAAUAUUAAUUAAUUAAUUAAUUAAAAGUAUUAUGUAAUAACAGAAAGUUGUUUUUUUCUUUUUCCCCACAUCACUGCCCCACUUCCUACCCCACCCUGGGAAAAGGGAAGAGAGUGACUCACAAUUGAAUGUCACUGCCCUCGGGCUGAAUAGGGAUUCCAAGUGGAAGCUAAACUCUGACACCAAGAUUUAUAGAAUGUACAUGACUCAGAUAGGACUUUUAAAAUUCUCAAACUCAUCUGUAUAAUUUAAACAAGUUAUUAGAUUAUAUACACAGAAGUCAACAUGUCACAACUAAUCAUAUCCAAUGAACUCACACACUCAUCUGUAUCCAAAGUCCCCCACCCUUUUUUUCUUUUAAGACCGGGUCUUGCUCUUUUGACCAGGCUGGAGUACAGUGGCAUGAUCUCUGCUCACAGCAGCCUGGACCUUCUGGGCUCCAGUGAUCCUCCAGCCUCUGCCUACAGAGUAGCUGAAAUUACAGGUGCAGAUUAUCAUGCCUGGUUUUUGCUUUCGUUUUUUUUUUUUUUGACAGAGAUGGGGGCAAUGACUAUUUUGCCCAGGCUGGUCUUGAACUCCUGGACUCAAGCAAUCCCUCUGCCCCAGUCUCCUAAAGUGCUGGGAUUACAGGCACGAGCCACUGCGCCCAGCCCCUCUUUCUUCAUUACUGUGCUUCCCUCCCUAAUUCUGUGCAUAUCUCUCAUUCUCCCCUUCUCUCUCUAGCUCUUGUUUUCUUGUCUUUUUCCCUGGGAUUGUGCUCCUCAUUUUGUGCCCCUCUCCUCUUCUGCUGUUUAUCCCCUUCUUCCCUCUAUUCCUUCUCUUCCACCUCUUCUGCUCCAUCCUCACAACUUAUUUAACCUUUUUUUUUUUUUUUUGAGACGGAGUUUCCAUCUUGUUGCCCAGGCUGGAGUGCAAUGGUGCGAUCUUGGCUCACUGCAACCUCCGCCUCCCAGGUUCAAGCGAUUCUCCUUCCUCAGACUUCCUAGUAGCUGGCAUUACAGGCAUGUGCAACCGUACCUGACUAAUUUUGUAUUUUUAGUAGAGACGGGGUUUCUCCAUGUUGGUCAGGCUGGUCUCAAACUCUGGACCUCAGGUGAUCCGCCCACCUCAGCCUCCCAAAGUGCUGGGAUUAUAGGCAUGAGCCACAGAGUCUGGUCCUUAUUGAAGGGGGCCAGCCCCUCCACACCUGUGGGUAUUUCUCAUCAGGUGGGAUGAGAGACUGAGAAAAGAAAUAAGACAGAGAGACAAAGUAUAGAGAAAGAACAGUGGGCCCAGAGGACCAGCACUCAGCAUACGGAGGAUCCCGCGCCAGCCCCAGGUCUCUGAGUUCCCUCUCCUUAGGCACUCUCUAAUUGUUCCUUGGUUUCUGGUCUGGUUCCUAGGCGCCAGGCUACCUGCCUUUAGUUUCGCUUCUCUUUCCUUUUCUGAGUAUAAAACAAUAUGAGAGGGUCUCUCUCUUCCCUCAAGAGGAUCAGGAAAAAUAACUAAUGGGUACUAAACUUAAUAUCUGGGUGACUAAAUAAUGUGUACAACCCCCAUGACACAAGUUUUCCUAUAUAAUAAACCUGCACAUGCACCCCUGAACUUAAGAUAAAAGUUAAGUUUAAGGCUGGGCAUGGUGGCUCAUGCCCGUAAUCCCAGCACUUUGGGAGGCCAAGGUGGGUUGAUCACCUGAGGUCAGGAGUUCAAGACCAGCCUGUCCAACAUGGCAAAACCUCAUCUCUGCUAAAAACAAAAAAAUUAACCGGCCAUGGUGGAACGCACCUGUGGUCCCAGCUACUUGGGAGGCUGAGGCUGGGGGAUGGCUUGAGCCUGAAGGAGGUUGCAGUGAGCUAAGAUCAUGCCACUGCGCUCCAGCCUAAGUGGCAGAGCGAGACCUUCUCUCAAAAUAAAAUCAAAUAUAUGAAAACAGAAUAACUCAAAGUACGAAAAUCCAUUUUGUUUAUAUAGGUCCGCAAAAUAAUAAAACCUACACAGACUCACAAGAAACUAGAUGUUAACAAAAAAAGUUGUCAUUUUCCCCAGAUUUUCUUUUCUUUCUUUUUUUUUUUUUUAGACAGGGCCUCGUUCUGUCGCCCAGGCUGCAGUGCAGUAAUGCAAUCUUGGCUCACUGCAACCUCUGCCUUCUGGGUUCAAGUGGUUCUCCUGCCUCAGCCACAGAGUAGCUGGGAUUACCGGUGCCCCCCACCAUGCCCGGCUAACUUUUGUAUUUUUAGUAAAGAUGGGGUUUCACCAUGUUGGCCAGGCUUGUUGUGAACUCCUGACCUCAGGUGAUCCACCCACCUCGGCCUCCCAAAGUGAUAGGAUUACAGACAUGAGCCACCACACCCAGCAGAUUUUCAAAAUAUAUACAUAUAUGUGUGUAAAUAUGCAUGUAUAUGUAUGUGCAUGUGUAUAUGUGUGUGUGUAUAUAUAUAUAUAUAUAAAGAUUUUAAAAAUAUAAAAAGUAGCAAGAUUUGUUUAACUGAAGAGGAAUCUCAUCUUGCUAGAAAAUGACACUUUGGCAGUUGGGGUAGGGGGGAAUCUUGUCAGAUCUAAGAAAACAGGAAAUGCCCCAUGCUAGAAGAAGCAAUCACCCUUUCAACUGCCUGACCUGGAGGAAGCUUCAGAUAUCUGUAGGAAUGCAGGCAUGUGCAGAGGCAGCCACUAUGGCACUCCUUAUACAAGGAAAAAUCACAAAGGACCCACAUGUUGUCAUUCAGCCAAUUUCCAAAGCAGAUGUCAAAGAGCAAGCUAGCCAUGUUUACUAACUUCACAACAUGUAAAUUUUUGCAACUAGCAGGAUCAAAUAUCAAAGUAAAAUAUUUACUAAAACACAAAGAAGAAAACAAGAGACGCUGGGGUCUACUUGAGGGUAGAGAGUGGGAGGAAGGAGAGAAGACGAGAAAAAAUAGCUAUUAGGGGCUGGGCACAGUGGCUUACACCUGUAAUCCCAGCACUUUGAGAGGCUGAGAGGCUUCGAUCAUCUGACAUAAGGAGUUAAACAUCAGCCUGGCCAACAUGGUGAAACCCUGCCUCUACUAAAAAUACAAAAAUUAGCCAGGUGUGGUGGUGGCAUGUGUUUGUAAUGCCAGCUACUCGGGAGGCUGAGGCAGGAGA
rnacentral:lncRNA from 1 species